AUAUACUACGUGCGAAUUGAGCUCCCUGAGAUUGAUAACGGGGCGAAAUUCGCCUGUUUUCUUCCUGACCAGGAAGAUAUUGCUGUAGAAACCGGUGGCAUCCGGAGCCGGUUGAAUGGCACCCUUGGAGCGGAGUUCUCGGAGUUGCGCGUCUAUGAGGCGGGCAUCUGCUCGUGUAGUCUGGAUUGGACGUGGAGGGGUCAGCUGGAGCGGGGUCGAGUCGAACUCUAUUCGAUAGCCCUGCACCGUUUGGAUUAUCCACGCAUCUGAAGAUAGUUCUUUCCAGUUCUGGAAGAAAAGAGAAACACGACCUGCGAUA